AACGAACGCUGGCGGCAGGCUUAACACAUGCAAGUCGAGCGCCCCGCAAGGGGGGCGGCAGACAGGUGAGUAACGCGUGGGAACGUACCCUUUGCUACGGAAUAGCUCCGGGAAACUGGAAUUAAUACCGUAUGUGCCCUACGGGGGAAAGAUUUAUCGGCAAAGGAUCGGCCCGCGUUGGAUUAGCUAGUUGGUGGGGUAAUGGCCUACCAAGGCGACGAUCCAUAGCUGGUCUGAGAGGAUGAUCAGCCACAUUGGGACUGAGACACGGCCCAAACUCCUACGGGAGGCAGCAGUGGGGAAUAUUGGACAAUGGGCGCAAGCCUGAUCCAGCCAUGCCGCGUGAGUGAUGAAGGCCUUAGGGUUGUAAAGCUCUUUCACCGGAGAAGAUAAUGACGGUAUCCGGAGAAGAAGCCCCGGCUAACUUCGUGCCAGCCGCCGCCGUAAUAC
rnacentral:rRNA from 1 species